UCUGGGGGUGGCGUGGCAGGUGAGCACAAGAUGUAUGCUCAUCCUCGCUGUCGCCGCAGGGGAAUCCGGUGCGAAUCCGGAACUGUCCCGCAACGGUGUACUUGUGCAUGUCUGUUCCCGGAACCGCCGUGCACAGGAGUCAGUCCGAGGACCUGCCGACAGCGCACCCGGCCAU
rnacentral:ncRNA from 14 species